GGCAGGGUGUGGUGGGGCAGCUGGUGUUGUGAAUCAGGCCGUAGCCAAUCCGAGAAACGGCUACUUCACAACACCAGGGUCGCACCGCACCGCAGG
rnacentral:pre_miRNA from 1 species